rnacentral:rRNA from 1 species
GACGAACGCUGGCGGCGUGCUUAACACAUGCAAGUCGAACGAAGAGCGAUGGCAGCUUGCUUCUAUCAAUCUUAGUGGCGAACGGGUGAGUCACGCGUAAUCAACCUGCCCUUCAGAGGGGGACAACAGUUGGAAACGACUGCUAAUACCGCAUACGAUCUAAUCUCGGCAUCGAGGAUAGAUGUAAGGUGGCCUCUACAUGUAAGCUAUCGGUGGAGGAGGGGAUUGGGUCUGAUUAGCUAGUUGGUGGGGUAGCGGCUCACCACGGCGAUGAUGGGUAGCGGGCGUGAGAGGGUGACCGGCCACAGUGGGACUGAGAGACGGCCGAGACUCCUACGGGAGGCAGCAGUGGGGAAUAUUGCACAAUGGGAGGAAGCCUGAUGCAGCAACGCCGGGUGCGGGAUGACGGGCUUCGGGUGGUAAACCGAUUUCGCCUGUGACGAAGAGUGAGUGACGGUAAUGGGUAAAGAAGCACCGGCUAACUACGUG